GCCCCUUCUGACCCACCCAGAACCCCUCAAUCUGCCUCUUCUGCCCCACCCAGAACCCCUCAAUCUGCCCCUUCCAACCCACCCAGGACCCCUCAAUCUGCCCCUUCUGACCCACCCAGAACCCCUCAAUCUGCUCCUUCUGCCCCACACAGAACCCCUCAGUCUGCCUCUUCUACCGCACCCAGAACCCCUCAGUCUGCCUCUCCUGCCCCACCCAAGAUCUCUCAAUCUGCCCCUUCUGACCCACACAGAACCCCUCAAUCUGCCCCUUCUGCCCCAUCUGACCCACGCAGAGCACCCCACUGCCCCACGCUGUUUGGGACAGGAGCUGAGGGACACGGGGAGGAGCCCACGUUGUUCUGCUCCACACACCCAGGCUGUGUUCCCAGCAGUUGGAAAUUUCUGAUAGCACCUUUUGGGAUAAUUUCACGUUAUAGGGGUUGGACUUGAUCUCUUGAGGUCAAUUCUACUCCCUGCAAUUCUGUGAUGCUCUGUGUUGGAAGUCACUUUGUCUCUGCGUGGCUCUUGGUUGUUUUUUUCCUGCUCAGGAAAGAGAGGUGGUGGAGAGCCCUUUACCCUGUCAUAUUUGCUCGUCCAUCUCAAGGACAGCUGACAGCGAAGCAUCAGGUCUGCACUCCUUGUGUUUGCUCUCAGAUGCUGGCACAGACCAUGAGGCUCUCCUUGCACAGUUUGGAUACCUGAACCAUCAGAAUCCUGGCGGGUGAAAUUCAUUGCUUGGGGAUUUUGAUCAGAGCAGUGAGUGCGAGAUAUAAACUACUGUGGCUGUGCAUUCUGUGGAGUGAAAAGCAGAGAAAGAAGUCGCUCAAGUUAAAGCCUAGAACCAGAACGAAAGCACUAUCUUAUGAUGUGGGCAAUUGUCUGAAAUAUGUCAUGUAGGUGACCCAGUCCCACACCCAGCAGUAAUCGCCAAAUUCCAGCUCAGUAUUGGUUUUGAAUGACUUAAGGUGCAACGAAGAAUGAAGUUUCUUUAUCCGAGUGUUCUUCACCCAGGUCUCAGCAGGCACCCACGCUGCAUCCUUUGAGCAGUUGUAGCUCAUGCAGCUGUCAGAAAAUGUACUUUAGAUGCCAGUGUAAUUGUUUCAAAGAAGAACAUGUGAGCUGAAGCCAGGUGACGUUUACAUUAAAGUAGCUUGUUUGCAAUGGCAAUGGCACAACAGAGCGAGUACUCAACAUGCAGCAGUUGUGUCCCCUCACAAGAAAGCCAAGGAUGAGACCAGCUUACCAUCUACACAUUACAUUAUUAACAAACCCAACUACACUUUUUAGCGUAAUAAUGUGCCUGUUAAAGAAAGCCAAGUGGAAACCAACUCCAG
ensembl:lncRNA